CUGAGGGGCUGUACAUGAUGAGCCAGCUCAGGAGAGAACCAGGAGAGUUAAGCUGAACUGAGAGUUCAGAGCUGCAGUCAGAGCAUUUGCUGUCAGCAGUCAGGCCAUUCAACAGGGCUGCUAGAUUUUUAUGACAAGAGCAUGUAAAAGCCCUGGAUCAUUGUUCAGACAGGGAAGUCGGCCAAUUUAUCAGGUCCUGAGGAUGUUGAAAGUGCAGGGAAACAUCUGAGAUUGGGUUUAUGUGGCCAACUGAAACCAAAGCACACCUUCCCCACGCUGAGGAACCUGCCUAUGCUUGGAAAGCAAGGGGACAGCAACACCCUCUGACUGCAAUUCAAGAGAACCCCAAAUAGGCACAAGACACUUGUUUUCAAUUAGUUAGGGUUAUCCUCCUGCUUUCUGAAGUCUAAAUGGAUAGCAGACUACAGAAAUCCUAAGUGAAAUGUGGUUUCGGGAGGUUGUGCUGGGUGCGCACUUGUCCUUUUCUCUCCCUGUCUCUGAGUUUUCCACUGGAGACCUCACUGAAUCUUUCAUUUUGCACAAAGAUUGCUCUGAAGCUGCUUAACCUGCACAAUCCUCCCGGAGGUGUACCAGGGCCUGGAGAGGCUGCAUCAGAGGCCAUGUCGACACCGGUGCAGGGGAGGGGAGAGGAUGUGAGAUGAUUCCCUUCACAAACCCUAACUCCCCUGGGCUGCCUUGCACACUUCAGAGAGAAUUGAGGUCUGCUUUUGGGGAGGAAUGUAAAAAUACAGCUCUGAGUGCCCUCCUACUGCAGUUUUGAUUUAUCUGCUGAGAAGCCAUCAGACUCCACUCAGCUGAAGCCAGCUUUAUGCUCAGGUUUCUAAAAACAAAAGGUUUUUCUUUAAAUGACUGCUACUGAACUUUAAAAGUCCAUGAGGCCCUUGAAACUACCAAAUGGCACAGAACAAUAUAAUCAUCUAGUAAUACUCACCUGCAGACUCAUUAUUUUUUUUCAGAUCUGCUCAUUCCUCAUCACAACUAUUGAGAUGCAAGAGAGCCAGCCAGGUUCAGAUGUCACCGACAGAGCCAUUACUAGGGAAUGUGGUGUGAGGAGGAGCAGGAUUCAUGUCCCAGACCGAGGUUUUGAGGUUUUAAUGACCAUUAUAGGAGGUAGGCUCAUAUUUCAAACUGCAAUAAAUUAGGAUAGUUCUGCAAUUUUUCCAAAUAGUUAGGACAAUUUAUAUCACCUACCUGUGAUUAGCUGAAGUUGAAAGGCAGGGCUGUGAUUCAGUAAUAACAACAUGAAUUUUGCCGCUGAGGUCAAUGGGAUCCCACCAUCAAGACUUCAAAGCAGCAAACCAGCACAGAAUUGAUUUCAAUGUGCUGUUCUCUCCUUCCUAAGGGCAAGUUGUUCAUUUGAUGUUAUAUUUGAGGUGUUUGUAGAAACCUGUAGGUAGCAGAAAAAUUUAAAUUUGAAGUUUGCUUCAGUUUGACCUCACCAUGGGGACAGAAAAGUCACAGUGGGAAAUAUCAGUAGCAUUCUGUGACACAAAUGAUAAAUCACUUUUCUGAGUUAACGUCACCAAGCACACGGGUCUUGCUCUUUUGGCAGGACUUCCAAGGAAAAGACUCUCGACCAGACUACCUUCACAGAGAAUCAGAGUUCUUUCCUAAAAUACGAGAGAAUAUAAUUUCCUUUUGUGUUAGAAACUAGCUAGCACCGAGGUUCUGGAGAGAGUGAAACUGAAUUUAGCCGAUCAAUACACAAAGCUUAUGCAAGCAUGUUUUCUUCUGGGUGAGGGAAAUUCUUCGAUCCAUCGUUAUUCAACUUCAUUCUUCAGUGAAUUAACAUCUCAAACAACUAUUCAGGUCACAGAGGUUCAAGUCGCUAAGGCACAAGCAGCUUUGCCUCCCGAGGACUAUCAGGCAGCAGGGAAGGUAAAUAAAGGGGUUUGUUUAAUGUUUAAAAGAGCGUACUAAUGGACAAUUAGCCAGAGGAUUUGAGAGUAGUUUUUAAAUCUACAAAAAAAGCAAAACUUCAAACACUCAGUAAACUCCAGGCUGUGUUUUGGGCUAACGCCACAGUACACAUCUCAGACCCGCAGCAUUGAUGGUGACGGGAACCCAUGGUUGUCACAGCUUCUGCCGGGAAGCGGUGACAAAAGUUCGCAGGUGUCUCGAACAGAGUAGUAGAUAAUCUAAAGUGAAGUAAAUUUGCAGGGCAAGGACACAUCUAGGCUAAAGUAUUUGCCUCAAGCUUCAGACUUCAACUGAACCGCAUCUUUAGACAGUCAUGGCUGCAAUGUCACUGUUUAUAAUAUAAAUGACGUGGGAAGAAACACCGAGUCAUCUGGUUCAAUGAAAUCAAUAUAGUCAUGCAAUACUUCGAGGGCUGUUAAGGUUUUCAGAGAGACUAGAUCAUAUUUUCAAGAACAGGGCUCGCAGUUAUUUAGAGAAGGCUGAAAAACAGUCCACACAUGUUGGUCACAGCACCCCUGCUGUGAACAAAAAAAUCGAAAAGACAGAAUGUAAUUUUAGAGAAACGGCUUAUUUUUGAGGUGUUUCAGUGAAAUUCUGCCUCUGAAAACAAGGUGAGGCAGUACAAUAGGAACUGUCUUUUCACUGUGUCCAAUUUUAGAUGGUAUCCUCACUAUUGAAAUGAAAAGCAGAAGAAAAAAAUUGAAAAAGAUGACGCACAUGCUUAAAAAAAAUCGACUAUAUUAUAAGGUAUUAUUUUUUUAGUUUUAAGUUGCUUUUACAGACCGGGCUAUUGGAUUUUGUAGUUCUGUUGCAGAAACACACUCUGCUUCUGAAGUAAAAUGAAGCAAUGAACAAAAUUAUAGAUUUUGUGUCUUAAGUAUCAGAUCGUUUCCAGUUUGCUGAUCUGUAAGCAGGUUAAUUGUUCUCUGAUGAAAUUGAGUGACAAGAUUAAAAAAAAAAAAAAAAAAAAGAAAAAAACAAAACAAAACGAGGAUAAUUUUUUUUCAUCUGGGAGACAGAAACAAUCCAAGCAGUCAAGAUUACUGUUGUGAACCUGCCAUUGAAAAAUACGAUAAAAAAAUACAUUUGAUAAAGUACUAAAUUAGCUGAUCUGAGACAAAACUCCCAAAUUAGGUCUGCCGGGUAUUUGAGACAUUCAUUUGACCAUCGGUCUGUUAAAAGAAAUCUGAAAAGAAGUCUUAAAGAUCUUCUGCUGAUACCAUCAUGUCAAUGAAUUAUUCGGCUGCAGGGCAUCCAAUGUUGCUGGUCUGUAAUAGUAUCGGCUAAUUAGCAAUUUUACUUCCUCCCAGGUUGCCAUUUCCUAAAUCGUACUCCUCAGCUUUUGAGACACAGUACCCUGCUACAGUGUAGAGUGCGGUAACAAGUUAACAUUUUCCAGUAACAAGUUAACAUUUUCAGGAAAUUGAGUCAAUUCAAUGCAAAUAGACCCAAGGGAAUUAUUAGCCCUCCUUAGACCAAGACGAGGAUGUCAAUUAAAUAAAGUCUUCUCAGCCAGCUACAGAAAUGCAACCGACAUUUCCUGAGAAGUUCAAAUUUAACAAAACUAGUAAAUAAGUCAGUUUCCAGGCAAGGCUAGCUCACAUGCUGCAUGGACAAGGCUUGGAGUUGUGUGUACAUUUUAUUUCUGUACCUAAAAUGGGCUGCAUGUUCCCAUUAUGGCCAUGUUGAACCUGAAAAAAUGACCAAUUGAGCCAAGAUGAAGACUUUACUAAUGCUUGUUAAAAAUCUAAGUAUCAAACAAUAAAAUUAUAGUAUGCAUUGAGGGCUUUAUUUGAGCACAUCGUAUUGCAUUAUUUUCUUCCAGAUUUAUAAAUAAAAGGUCAUUAUUAUUCCUGCACCUUCUACAGUAUAGAUACUACAACAGAAACAUGAUGUGUUUAGUCCUUCCCAGACACAGCACAUGCGAUCUGUGAAUGCUCAAGUGUUUCCUAUCUAUGAACAUCUUUCAGAUCUAAGGAUAAAAAAGAGAGAAUCAGAAACUAAAUGCUUUUAUGGCUGAGAGGAAUUAAAUUCUCAGUGAAAAGAUUAUUAAGAGAAAAUUCAGUAACAUAAAACAUAUAUGAAAUUGCUUCAUCUAAACCCCUCUGUAGAUAUCUGUAUUUUUAUUGGAUAUGUGUCUGAUGUUGGAAUCAAUUUUUCAAUUUGUCAAAAUUAUGUGAAAUCACAUUCUUUCUUGAAUCUGUAGCCAUGUUUUCAA